rnacentral:rRNA from 1 species
AUGAACGCUGGCGGCGUGCCUAAUACAUGCAAGUCGAGCGAACGGACGAGAAGCUUGCUUCUCUGAUGUUAGCGGCGGACGGGUGAGUAACACGUGGAUAACCUACCUAUAAGACUGGGAUAACUUCGGGAAACCGGAGCUAAUACCGGAUAAUAUUUUGAACCGCAUGGUUCAAAAAUGAAAGACGGUCUUGCUGUCACUUAUAGAUGGAUCCGCGCUGCAUUAGCUAGUUGGUAAGGUAACGGCUUACCAAGGCAACGAUGCAUAGCCGACCUGAGAGGGUGAUCGGCCACACUGGAACUGAGACACGGUCCAGACUCCUACGGGAGGCAGCAGUAGGGAAUCUUCCGCAAUGGGCGAAAGCCUGACGGAGCAACGCCGCGUGAGUGAUGAAGGUCUUCGGAUCGUAAAACUCUGUUAUUAGGGAAGAACAUAUGUGUAAGUAACUGUGCACAUCUUGACGGUACCUAAUCAGAAAGCCACGGCUAACUACGUG